rnacentral:lncRNA from 1 species
ACCCUACCCAACACAGGCCCAGGUGUAAUACAGGUAACACUACUCAAUAUAGACCCAGUUGUAAGUAGGUGUAAACAGGUAACACUACUCAACAUAGACCCAGGUGUAAUACAGGUAACACUACUCAACACAGGCCCAGGUGUAAUACAGGUAACACUACUCAACACAUGCCCAGGUGUAAUACAGGUAACACUACUCAAUAUAGACCCAGGUGUAAUACAGGUAACACUACUCAACACAGACCCAGGUGUAAUACAGGUAACACUACUCAACACAGGCCCAGGUGUAAUACAGGUAACACUACUCAACAUAGACCCAGGUGUAAUACAGGUAACACUACUCAACACAGACCCAGGUGUAAUACAGGUAACACUACUCAACACAGGCCCAGGUGUAAUACAGGUAACACUACUCAACACGGGCCCAGGUGUAAUACAGGUAACACUACUCAACAUAGACCCAGGUGUAAUACAGG